UAGCUAUGACGAAUCUGUGUCCACGGUGAUGGAUGGGUCUAUCACAUUCCUCUGAUGUUUCAGACGACUCGUGACACAUCUGAGCUC
rnacentral:snoRNA from 1 species